GCUCUCUCUUACGCGGGAUGUCAUAGCGAUAGGAGGCACAACUAGAGCAGAGAUUCCUCCUUUCACUGUCUCAUGGUGGCUGUUAUGUUUCAAUGCAGACUCGAAGAAA